GUCAAACGGAAAACGAUACGGCGGCGAACCGUUACCAUUGAGUACGGCUGUGGACACGUAGCUCUUCUCGGAACCAAACAAAACAAAUGGAGCCAAGAGAAGAGAACAAGAACACAGUAGUGUGUGAAUUCCACCAAUAGAACCGUUGAAGCGGAGAGCAGAGUUGAGGCGCUACCUUACGCUUCUUCGAUGGCAUGUGUAUCUCUUUCUUCUUCGAUUGUGUUUCCUACGAGAGAAUCGACUGUUUCUUUUGGAUUGAAUUUUGGGAAUAGGAGGAGGAUAUGUUUGUCGCCUAUUGGAUUUGGGCCGAUGAAGAAGAAGAAUCGAAGAGUUAGGGUUUCUGUUUGCAGAGCUGCUGCUCCUGUUGCCUUUCGCAAUCUAGAUGCCGAUGAAUUCCGACAUCCUCUUGACAAACAGAAUACGCUGAUUCUGAGGGCAAUUCCAGGGUUAAACGAGCUUGGGAAAGCCUUAUUAGGAACUGUUGCAGAGCAAGUCAUGCUACUCGAGAAUAUAGGGACAUCAGUUCUUGUUUCUAAAAAUCAGCUUCCUGAACUUCAUCAAUUAAUGGUUGAGGCUGCGGAUAUUCUGAACAUUGAGGCUCCUGACCUUUAUGUGCGUCAAAGUGCUGUACCCAACGCAUACACCCUAGCUGUCAGUGGUAAAAAGCCAUUUGUUGUUGUUCAUACAAGUCUUGUGGAGCUUUUGACACGAAAGGAAUUGCAGGCUGUUCUGGCGCAUGAGUUGGGUCACUUGAAAUGUGACCAUGGUGUAUGGCUGACAGUUGCAAAUAUUCUUACUCUUGGGGCAUAUACUUUACCUGGGCUUGGUGGGUUGAUAGCUCAGAGGUUGGAAGAACAACUAUUUCGUUGGCUCCGAGCAGCAGAGCUUACUUGUGAUCGUGCAGCCCUUCUUGUUGCUCGAGACCCAAAGGUGGUCAUGUCCGUUCUCAUGAAGUUAGCUGGGGGCUGCCCAUCUAUGGCUGAUCAACUAAAUGUGGAUGCAUUCUUGGAGCAAGCUCGUUCUUAUGACAAAGCUUCUUCAAGUCCAGUUGGGUGGUAUAUAAGAAAUGCUCAAACAAGGCAACUUUCACAUCCACUUCCUGUUUUACGUGCUCGGGAGAUUGAUGAGUGGUCAAGGAGUCAAGAAUAUAGAACCCUUCUGUGCCGUGCAGUACAGAUCAACCCCGUUCAAAAAGCUUAGCAUUUUGUUGAGGACAAAGUUUGAAAACUAAUGCAGCUCGAAUACUUAAAUGGUCUCCUCAACUUCAAUACCUUUUGAUAUGUUCUCUUCUUGUUCUCUGUCUCGGACCACUACUGCAAGGCCAAUGGAGUGCAGGAGAUGCUGUGGAUUUGAUAUAUACUUGUACUUUCGGUGAAAAUAUUGAAUUUCCAAUGAAUGUAAAUGUACCAUAGGGAAAUAGUACUUUACUAGGUUUUGUUGGUCAUUCUAUACACACUUGUAUACACGUUACAAUACUAUACAGUCGUGAAAUCUGUUUAUAUGAA